ACGGGUGCGGAACACGUGUGCAACCUGCCUUUAUCAGGGGGAUAGCCUUUCGAAAGGAAGAUUAAUACCCCAUAAUAUAUUGAGUGGCAUCACUUAAUAUUGAAAACUCCGGUGGAUAGAGAUGGGCACGCGCAAGAUUAGAUAGUUGGUGAGGUAACGGCUCACCAAGUCUGCGAUCUUUAGGGGGCCUGAGAGGGUGAUCCCCCACACUGGUACUGAGACACGGACCAGACUCCUACGGGAGGCAGCAGUGAGGAAUAUUGGACAAUGGGUGCGAGCCUGAUCCAGCCAUCCCGCGUGAAGGACGACGGCCCUAUGGGUUGUAAACUUCUUUUGUAUAGGGAUAAACCUACUCUCGUGAGAGUAGCUGAAGGUACUAUACGAAUAAGCACCGGCUAACUCCGUGCCAGCAGCCGCGGUAAUACGGAGGGUGCAAGCGUUAUCCGGAUUUAUUGGGUUUAAAGGGUCCGUAGGCGGAUCUGUAAGUCAGUGGUGAAAUCUCACAGCUUAACUGUGAAACUGCCAUUGAUACUGCAGGUCUUGAGUGUUGUUGAAGUAGCUGGAAUAAGUAGUGUAGCGGUGAAAUGCAUAGAUAUUACUUAGAACACCAA
rnacentral:rRNA from 1 species